rnacentral:lncRNA from 1 species
AAGAGAUCCUCCCACCUCGGCCUCCCAAAGUGUUGGGAUUACAGGCUUAGGCCUCAAGAGAUCUUGAACAUUUUCACUUGCUCUCCUGGAACCCUGAUGCUGCCACGUGAACAAGCCCAGGCAACCUUACUGGAAGAAGAGAAGCAUCAACUCCAACACAUGAGUGAGGUUAUCCUAGACCAGCCAAACCCCAUCAACCACAAACAUGAGUAAGCCCUGCAGAGACCCACCGAGCCCAAUCCGGAUCAACCAAACCUCCCAGCCUGCUUUAAACUUGGAUGAAGAAACUGAGGCUCAAAGAGGCUUGGCCAAGACCACAGAGCCAGCACUCAAUGUCAUUCCCUCUACCAUGCAGCGGGCUCCCCUCUGCCAUCUCCAGCCGCCUGAAGCAGGGCCCAGCAUGAAUGAGACAGCUGGCAGAGUGAGAGCUGUGCUCACCACCUCAGCUCAGUGGCCCCCUGGGGGACCUGGGCCGUGACCUUGGCCUCAUUACUGCAUCGGACCUGUAAUCAGAUGCUUAGAAGGUCUGCAGAGAUCCACCCAGCCUGGAUCAUGGGGUAGAGACCCGCACGGCAAGCUGGAAGAUGUAGCCUCUUUGAAAUCACACCAUUCACUGGGGGACUCUCAAGGGUUCAUCACACUCCACUGGGUCCUGGCCAUCUGCUCUGUCCAUUUGAUGGACAAAUGGACAGCAAAGAGGGCUAGGGAUGUAUGACCUUUCUAAAAUAUGUAUGAAUAAAAAAACACUUUCUUUAGACAAGACAGAAUAAGAAUAGCGAAAAAUACCCAGCAGCUCCCUUUACCGAGC